AUAGAGUAAUUAAUAAUCUAUCUAUAGCUGAAAUUUUACCAUAAUUAGCAUGUUUCCAAUUGAAUUUACAUAAUUUAGAAAUUCUGAAUACUGUAUGGAACCUUGCAUGUUUAAUAAAAAGUGUUAAGAAAUGAAAAAUAUUGACAGUUCUAUUGAGGAGGUUAGGUUAUUAUUAAAUCUAACAAAUUGAAGAAAGUUUUACUAAUCGAAAGUUAAUAUCCGAAAAAGAAAAGGCGCCAGUUUUCCUCCUUUUUUGUCUGUUACAUUCGACCAAAAAAAAGCAGCAACAAAGCAAAAAAAAGAAACAAAGCAAUUUAUUUUGUGGAAAUCACAGCUUACGGCGAUUACUAAAGGUUACCGCAUUCUCCCUCCUCAUCAAAAUCUUGUAGUUGAUGUUGGAAUAUUGGAUACUCUAGUUCUCUGAAGAGUCUUCAUUGGUGCACGCUAAUUUGAUGUUGGUUUAUUAGCUCUGCUCUUGAAAAAAGAUACUGUUCUUUAAUACUUUACAAUGGAUAAAUCCUGGAUGGGAAUGCCAAGAAACACAAAAAUAUUUGCUUGGUUUGAAUCAAUUUCUAGAUUUUGCGUUUAAGAAUGGGAAUGUACGAGAUAGAAUAAAAUGUCCAUGUCCGAAAUGUGGUUUUGCAAAGUGGCAAACUAGAGAUAUAGUGUUCUGUCAUUUGGUUUGCAAGCCAUUCCCUUAAAAUUAUGUCACUUGGGUUAUGCAUGGUGAAAGGAAUGUUUUGCAUACUUCUAGAGGCGCUGAAAUUCAGAAGAAACGGACAAUUCCACACACUGGUGGCUCCAAACCUAACUUUAGAAGAAAGACAGUGGAGACUGGAGAAAAGCCUGAGUGUGGACAGCUUUACCCUGCCACUCAUAAGAAUCAAGAUGAAUCAUAUGUUAAUGAGGAGACGAGAGGGAUAUGUAAUUAGAAAUGGCAGAGGACUUGUCCAAAGGCAAUCGAAGGGAUCCUGGCUGGAAAUAUAAUCAUUUGAAGGAUCCUAAUGACACUACAAGAGUCACAUGCAAUUUUUGUGGAAAAACAACCACCGGUGGAAUUAAUCGGGCAAAACAACAUUUGAUUGGGAACUUUAGGAAUGCAGCAAAGUGUGUAGUAUGCCCACAGGAGGUUAGAGAGGAAUUGAAAAAUUACAUGAAGGAGAAAAAAAAUAAGAAAAGAAGUCUAUACUAACGAAUUUUCUCGACUUGAUGAGUUUGAUUAUCAAAACGAUGUUGGUGGAGAAGAUGAAGUCCACGAGAUCAUUCAUAAGAAAAGAGGUGGAGGAAGCUUUCCUAGUGGCUCUAGUAAGAAAUUGGCCAAAGGAAAGGGACCCAUGGAUGUGUUUCUACAAAAGCAAGGAACACUUAGGCAAACAAAUAUCAAAUAUUCAUGUGAUAAAGAAGCAAGAGCCAUGACAAUUCAAAAAGUUGCUCGCUUCUUUUACGAUAAUGGGAUCCCAUUCAAUGUUGAUCGCUCAAAAAGUUUUAAGGAAGCAGUUGAGGCUAUAGGAAGGUAUGGUCCAAACUUGAAGCCUCCAAGCUACCACGAAUUAAGGGUUCCGUUACUUAGGAAGGAGGUUGAGUUAACCAAUGAGAUUAUAAACAAACAUAGAGAAGAAUGGUUGAAGUAUGGAUGUUCCAUUAUGGCGGAUGGAUGGUCAAAUAGAAAACAAAGAACUUUGAUAAAUUUUUUGGUAAAUUCUCCGCAUGGAACAGUGUUUAUGGAGUCAAUAGAUGCUUCCUCAUUUGUUAAGACCGGAGAGAAACUAUGUGAAUUGCUUGAUAGAUAUGUGGAGCGUGUUGGAGAGCAUAAUGUGGUUCAAGUUAUAAGUGAUAAUGGUAGCAACUUUGUGUUGGCCGGUCAACUCUUACAGAAAAAAAGAAGACACAUAUACUGGACGCCAUGUGCAGCGCACUGUAUAGAUCUCAUGUUGGAAGACGUAGGGAAGAUUCCAAACAUUAAGAAGGCCCUUCAAAGAGUAAUUGCCCUUGUCGGUUUCAUUUAUGGGCACUCAGGAGUCCUAUAUAUGAUGAGAGAUUUCACAAAAAAUAAAGAGUUGAUGAAAUGUGGGAUUACUCGAUUUGCAACGAGUUUUCUGACUUUGCAACGAUUGCACUGUCAAAAAUGGGUGAUUAGUAGAUGGUCUAAGUUACCAAAGGGAAAAAGUGUAGCUCAUACUGUCUUGAUGACAACAUUCUGGAACCAGGUUGUGUAUAUUUUGAAAAUAAUGUGCCUCUUGUUAAAGUGUUGCGAUUAGCUGAUAAUGAGAAAAAACCUGCAAUGAGGUAUAUUUAUGAAGCCAUGGAUUGAGCUAAGGAGGCUAUUGCAAAGGCAUUUGAAGGGAAUAUUGCAAAGUAUAAAGAUAUCUUUAAGAUUAUUGAUGAAAGAUGGCAAUGCCAAUUGCAUCAUCCAUUACAUGCAGCUGGACAUUAUCUAAAUCCAGAGUACUUCUAUCAAAAUUCAGCUAUUGAAAAUUGUAGAGAAGUAACAGAUGGGUUGUACGCUUGUAUUGAAAAAUUGGUUCCAAGCACUGAAGUACAAGACAAUAUUAUAUCUGAGAUAAGACUGUACACUAAAGCUGAACAACAAUUUGGCCUUCCGAUUGCAAAAAGAUCUAGAACGACAAGAUUUCCCGAUCCAUACCAAAAAAAAGAAACAGAUUGGAGCAUCAAAGAUUGAAUGACCUAGUGUAUGUCAAGUAUAAUCGUGCUUUAAAAGCCCGUUAUGACUUGCGUAGUGUUAUUGAUCCAAUCUCAUUGGAUAACAUUGAUCAUAGUAAUGAGUUGCUGGUUGGGAAGAUGGGUGUUAAUGUGGAAGCAGAAGAUGAGUUGGUGUUUGGUGAUGAUAGCUCGACUUGAGGUAAUGUUGCAAGAGCGUCGGGUAGUGAGAACGCGUUGACAUACACAAGGCGACAAAAGAGACAGUCAGGAGAUAUUGCAGCCAAUGCCUCAAGCUCCCGAGCUCCACGUAUUGAGUCUGUUGACAUAGAAGAUGAGAUUGUUUCUGAUGAGUCAAGGGAAGAGGAGAUUGGAGGCUAUAGUUCUAGUGACACCAAUGAGAAUCACUCUAUUGAGGAAGAAUAUAUGGAGGAAUAUUAUUUUAGUGAUUAGAAGUGGAAUCUAGAAUGAGUUUAUCUUUUCUUAUUAAGACUUAAGUUGAUUUGAUGAGGUUUUACUUCAUUAUAAGCAAUAUAUUUAUUAUUUAUGUGUCUAUUAUGUUCUCUAAAUAUUAGAUAUAUAUAUUUAAAAAAUUCUUCAUAGUGCGCUUUUUAUCAGUGAAGCCCACACUUUAAGUGCGCUUUAAGCUCCAAUAGGGCUUCUGCUCUUUUGUGCGCUUUUUAUGUUUUGACAACACUGCUUUGUUGUUUUGGCAGCAACUUUUGUCUCUGAAAUUUCAAUUGGCCUCUUUAUCUCCAUGCUUUUCUCCCUUCACUGUUGGUAACUCUGAAAAGCUGGUGGACAGACCUAUCUAAUGACAUUAACUCCAUAUCAAACUGUAAAGUCCAUGUAACACAAAUGGGCAAAGCUUUCAAACAUGUUUUUUUCCGUUUCUCCUGGGGCUAUUGCAAAGCAAAAUACAAAUCUUUUUCCAACCCUUAUGCCCUGUUUCCUAACUAAAAACCAGUUGUGCUAAAUGUGUUUCCCUAAUCUUUAUCUAUAAGCAUUUCUUAAACCCUCUUUUCAAUCCUCCCCUAUAGAAAAAGUUAUAAAAGGAAAAAUGAAAAGUAACAAGAGAAGUUAUUUCUGAUGGUUCAAAACACUUAAAACAAACAUAGGGAAUCUAUCGACAAUGGAUUCUGCCCUUUGGUUCUAUUGUAGCUAUAAUUUUUUGUUUUCCAGAGUGGAUUUUGUGAAAGUCUAGUUGAUACUCACAAAAUAGAUAAAACUCGAAACCACUCCAUAGCCUGAAGACAUUAGUAAACGAAUCUUAAUAUGCUACUCUUGCACGUGGAAAAUACAUAAGCAGGUAGAAACUCCCAAUCUCGAGUCUCCCUUUCCUAUCAAGUUCUCAGUUAAACAUUAAGGAAACCACUUCUAAGAUGAAGAUACCAAGAUAGACUUGAACAUCGACUAGCUUAAGCAUAUACGCAUAGAACAGG